GAAUGCGUAGAUAUAUGAAGGAACACCAAUGGCGAAGGCAGCUUACUGGACAAGUAUUGACGCUGAGAUGCGAAAGUGUGGGUAGCAAACAGGAUUAGAUACCCUGGUAGUCCACACCGUAAACGAUGAGUGCUAGGUAUUGGGAUAACUCAGUGCCGAAGUUAACGCAUUAAGCACUCCGCCUGGGGAGUACGGUCGCAAGGCUGAAACUC
rnacentral:rRNA from 1 species